rnacentral:rRNA from 1 species
UACGGAGGGGGCUAGCGUUGUUCGGAAUACUGGGCGUAAAGCGCGCGUAGGCGGACCUGCAAGUCGGGGGUGAAAGCCCGAGGCUCAACCUCGGAACUGCCUUCGAUACUGCGGGUCUCGAGUCCGGGAGAGGUGAGUGGAAUUCCUGGUGUAGCGGUGAAAUGCGCAGAUAUCAGGAAGAACACCAAUGGCGAAAGCAGCUCUCUGGGACGGUAUUGACGCUGAGACGCGAAAGCGUGGGGAGCGAACAG